rnacentral:lncRNA from 10 species
CCCUAACUGAGGUCUGAAAGCCGGAGGCCAGUGAGGCCAGGAUCCAGAAGAAGCUGGAUACAGCCUCUUCUCUGCAUGGAUGGGACAUUGACUGAAACCCAGAGAAGACCGGAGACACCCCAGAUCUCCCUCAACUCACACUGCAAAUGUCUCGAGGCCCGGAAACAGCAGUCCCAUGCCAAACCCAUCCCUGGAACACUGACCUGUCCGCAUCUUCCAGUACCCCAAACCUGGGUGAGAAGACCGGGACGAUUCCUUCCCCCCGCACAGGUGGGGCCGCCUCACUCCUUCCACCUCAUUUCCCCGCGGUGUGACAGUCCCCGUCCACGAGCAUCAUGUCUGCUCUUGUGAGAGCUGCUGCGCUCAGGACAAGCACAGAAGCACAGAAUGCCAAUUUCCCUCUUGAGAUCUCUCCUGAAUUGGGAAGAUCUCUCGUGAGGCUGGGUCAAAGAAUCACAGACCAGAGACUGUUGUGAACUUCCCACCAAUGAGGCAUGGAUGCCCCAGUCCUCAUGGGGCAUGUCUUAGGAGCAAAAUCCCU